CCAGCAGCCGCGGUAAUACGUAGGUCUCAAGCGUUAUCCGGAUUUACUGGGCGUAAAGCGUCCGCAGGUGGUUUGACAAGUCAAAGGUUAAAGCCUGGAGCUCAACUCCAGUUCGCCUUCGAAACUGUUAGACUAGAGUGUGAUAGGGGGUAGUGGAAUUCGAUGUGUAGCGGUGGAAUGCAUAGAUAUAUCGAGGAACACCAGUGGCGAAGGCGGCUACCUGGGUCAUCACUGACACUCAUGGACGAAAGCGUGGGGAGCAAACAGGAUUAGAUACCCUGGUAGUCCAUGCUGUAAACGAUGAUUGCUAGAUGUUGGUAUAAAGUAUUUAUAUUAGUAUCUGAGCUAACGCAUUAAGCAAUCCGCCUGAGUAGUACGGUCGCAAGAUUAAAACUCAAAGAAAUUGACGGGGACCCGCACAAGCGGUGGAUGAUGUGGUUUAAUUCGAUGCAACGCGAAGAACCUUACCAACGUUUGACAUCUUCUGCAAUGCUAUAGAGAUAUAGCGGAGGCUAACAGAAUGACAGGUGGUGCAUGGUUGUCGUCAGCUCGUGUCGUGAGAUGUUGGGUUAAGUCCCGCAACGAGCGCAACCCUCAUUUUUAGUUGCUAACAGGUUAAGCUGAGCACUCUAAAGAAACUGCUGGUGUUAAACCAGAGGAAGGUGGGGAUGACGUCAAGUCCUCAUGGCCCUUAUAGGUGGGGCUACACACGUCAUACAAUGGCCGGUACAGAGGGCUGCCAACCCGCGAGGGGGAGCC
rnacentral:rRNA from 1 species